rnacentral:rRNA from 1 species
UUUUCUGCCACCGAAUACAUUAGCAUGGGAUAAUGGAAUAGGACCCUGUCCUCCUAUUUUCAGUUGGUUUUGGCAGCGCGAGGACUAGGGUAAUGAUUAAUAGGGAUAGUUGGGGGCAUUAAUAUUUAAUUGUCAGAGGUGAAAUUCUUGGCUUUAUGAAAGAUUAACUUCUGCGAAAGCAUCUGCCAAGGAUGUUUUCAUUAAUCAAGAACGAAAGUUAGGGGAUCGAAGACGAUCAGAUACCGUCGUAGUCUUAACCAUAAACGAUGCCGACCAGCGAUUAGGAGACGUUGAAUACCAAACACCACCAUCGGUGCGGUCGUCCUUGGCGUCGGUCUUUCGGGGCCGGCGCGGGGGCGGCUUAGCCCGGUGGCACCGGUGAAUGACUCCCCUAGCAGCUUGUGAGA